rnacentral:tRNA from 1 species
GCAGCCGUGGUCUACUGGUUAGUGCCUCGGACUUGUAACCCGAGGGUUGCCGGUUCGAGCCCCGACCAGUAGGA